GCUAUACAUGCAAGUAGAACGCUGAAGAGAGGAGCUUGCUCUUCUUGGAUGAGUUGCGAACGGGUGAGUAACGCGUAGGUAACCUGCCUUGUAGCGGGGGAUAACUAUUGGAAACGAUAGCUAAUACCGCAUAACAAUGGAUGACACAUGUCAUUUAUUUGAAAGGGGCAAUUGCUCCACUACAAGAUGGACCUGCGUUGUAUUAGCUAGUAGGUGAGGUAACGGCUCACCUAGGCGACGAUACAUAGCCGACCUGAGAGGGUGAUCGGCCACACUGGGACUGAGACACGGCCCAGACUCCUACGGGAGGCAGCAGUAGGGAAUCUUCGGCAAUGGGGGCAACCCUGACCGAGCAACGCCGCGUGAGUGAAGAAGGUUUUCGGAUCGUAAAGCUCUGUUGUAAGUCAAGAACGAGUGUGAGAGUGGAAAGUUCACACUGUGACGGUAGCUUACCAGAAAGGGACGGCUAACUACGUGCCAGCAGCCGCGGUAAUACGUAGGUCCCGAGCGUUGUCCGGAUUUAUUGGGCGUAAAGCGAGCGCAGGCGGUUUGAUAAGUCUGAAGUUAAAGGCUGUGGCUCAACCAUAGUUCGCUUUGGAAACUGUCAAACUUGAGUGCAGAAGGGGAGAGUGGAAUUCCAUGUGUAGCGGUGAAAUGCGUAGAUAUAUGGAGGAACACCGGUGGCGAAAGCGGCUCUCUGGUCUGUAACUGACGCUGAGGCUCGAAAGCGUGGGGAGCGAACAGGAUUAGAUACCCUGGUAGUCCACGCCGUAAACGAUGAGUGCUAGGUGUUGGAUCCUUUCCGGGAUUCAGUGCCGCAGCUAACGCAUUAAGCACUCCGCCUGGGGAGUACGACCGCAAGGUUGAAACUCAAAGGAAUUGACGGGGGCCCGCACAAGCGGUGGAGCAUGUGGUUUAAUUCGAAGCAACGCGAAGAACCUUACCAGGU
rnacentral:rRNA from 1 species